CAGUGGCGGCGUGCUAUACAUGCAGUUGAGCGCUGAAGGUUGGUACUUGUACCAACUGGAUGAGCAGCGAACGGGUGAGUAACGCGUGGGGAAUCUGCCUUUGAGCGGGGGACAACAUUUGGAAACGAAUGCUAAUACCGCAUAAAAACUUUAAACACAAGUUUUAAGUUUGAAAGAUGCAAUUGCAUCACUCAAAGAUGAUCCCGCGUUGUAUUAGCUAGUUGGUGAGGUAAAGGCUCACCAAGGCGAUGAUACAUAGCCGACCUGAGAGGGUGAUCGGCCACAUUGGGACUGAGACACGGCCCAAACUCCUACGGGAGGCAGCAGUAGGGAAUCUUCGGCAAUGGACGAAAGUCUGACCGAGCAACGCCGCGUGAGUGAAGAAGGUUUUCGGAUCGUAAAACUCUGUUGGUAGAGAAGAACGUUGGUGAGAGUGGAAAGCUCAUCAAGUGACGGUAACUACCCAGAAAGGGACGGCUAACUACGUGCCAGCAGCCGCGGUAAUACGUAGGUCCCGAGCGUUGUCCGGAUUUAUUGGGCGUAAAGCGAGCGCAGGUGGUUUAUUAAGUCUGGUGUAAAAGGCAGUGGCUCAACCAUUGUAUGCAUUGGAAACUGGUAGACUUGAGUGCAGGAGAGGAGAGUGGAAUUCCAUGUGUAGCGGUGAAAUGCGUAGAUAUAUGGAGGAACACCGGUGGCGAAAGCGGCUCUCUGGCCUGUAACUGACACUGAGGCUCGAAAGCGUGGGGAGCAAACAGGAUUAGAUACCCUGGUAGUCCACGCCGUAAACGAUGAGUGCUAGAUGUAGGGAGCUAUAAGUUCUCUGUAUCGCAGCUAACGCAAUAAGCACUCCGCCUGGGGAGUACGACCGCAAGGUUGAAACUCAAAGGAAUUGACGGGGGCCCGCACAAGCGGUGGAGCAUGUGGUUUAAUUCGAA
rnacentral:rRNA from 1 species